rnacentral:rRNA from 1 species
GGACGAACGCUGGCGGCGUGCUUAACACAUGCAAGUCGAACGGGAGUAUUGAAGAAGCUUGCUUUAGAGAUACUUUAGUGGCGGACGGGUGAGUAACGCGUGAGGAGCUGUCCUAUGCAGGGGGACAACAGCUGGAAACGGCUGCUAAUACCCCAUAAGCCGAGAGGUAAAAGGAUCAAUCCGGCAGAGGAGGUACUCGCGUCCUAUCAGCUAGUAGGUGAGGUAACGGCUCACCUAGGCGAAGACGGGUAGCCGGCCUGAGAGGGCGAACGGCCACACUGGAACUGAAACACGGUCCAUAUACCUACGGGUGGCAGCAGUAGGGAAUAUUAGUAAUGGGCGAAAGCCUGAACUAGCAACGCCGCGUGUGCGAAGAAGGCCUUCGGGUCGUAAAGCACUUUUUGAGAGGAUGAGGAAGGACGGUACUCUCAGAAUAAGUCUCGGCUAACUACGUGCCAGCAGCCGCGGUAACACGUAGGAGGCAAACGUUAUCCGGAUUUACUGGGCGUAAAGCGCGUGUAGGUGGUUUGGUAAGUAGGGCGUGAAAGCUCCUGGCUCAACUGGGAGAGGACGUUCUAAACUGCCAAGCUUGAGGAUGGUAGAGGGAGGUGGAAUUCCGGGUGUAGCGGUGGAAUGCGCAGAUAUCCGGAGGAACACCAGUGGCGAAGGCGGCCUCCUGGACCACUCCUGACACUCAGACGCGAAAGCUAGGGUAGCAAACGGGAUUAGAGACCCCGGUAGUCCUAGCCCUAAACGAUGUAGACUUGGCGUCGGUGGUUUAAUCGCCAUCGGUGUCGUAGCUAACGCGAUAAGUCUACCGCCUGGGGACUACGGCCGCAAGGUUAAAACUCAAAGGAAUUGACGGGUCCCCGCACAAGCAGCGGAGCGUGUGGUUUAAUUCGAUGCUACACGAAGAACCUUACCUGGGUUUGACAUAGAGGUAGUAGGGAAGCGAAAGCGGACCGACCCUUCGGGGAGCCUCUACAGGUGUUGCAUGGCUGUCGUCAGCUCGUGUCGUGAGAUGUUCGGUUAAGUCCGCUAACGAGCGCAACCCUCGCUGUGUGUUACAAGUGUCACACGGUACUGCCGAUAUUAAGUCGGAGGAAGGUGGGGAUGACGUCAAGUCAGCAUGACCUUUAUAUCCAGGGCUACACACACGCUACAAUGGCCAGUACAAUGGGUUGCCAAGCCGCGAGGCGGAGCCAAUCCUAAAAAGCUGGCCUCAGUUCAGAUUGCAGUCUGCAACUCGACUGCAUGAAGUUGGAGUUGCUAGUAACCGCAGGUCAGCAAUACUGCGGUGAAUACGUUCCCGGGGAU